rnacentral:rRNA from 1 species
GAUGAACGCUGGCGGCGUGCUUAACACAUGCAAGUCGAACGAUGAAGCCCAGCUUGCUGGGUGGAUUAGUGGCGAACGGGUGAGUAACACGUGAGUAACCUGCCCUUGACUCUGGGAUAAGCCUGGGAAACUGGGUCUAAUACCGGAUAGGAACGUCCACCGCAUGGUGGUUGUUGGAAAGAUUUAUCAGUCAUGGAUGGACUCGCGGCCUAUCAGCUUGUUGGUGAGGUAAUGGCUCACCAAGGCGACGACGGGUAGCCGGCCUGAGAGGGUGACCGGCCACACUGGGACUGAGACACGGCCCAGACUCCUACGGGAGGCAGCAGUGGGGAAUAUUGCACAAUGGGCGAAAGCCUGAUGCAGCGACGCCGCGUGAGGGAUGACGGCCUUCGGGUUGUAAACCUCUUUCAGUAGGGAAGAAGCGAAAGUGACGGUACCUGCAGAAGAAGCACCGGCUAACUACGUGCCAGCAGCCGCGGUAAGAC